UGUACGGUUCAACUCUAGUUGAAAAGAAAAUAAGCCUCUGAACAAAUAAGCAUUUGUUCCUCCAGGUAGCCUGUGAUGCCACUGCAGUGGUGGAUGUUCCCUGAACACGCUGUGCAUUUUCUCACCUCAGGGUCUUCAGUCAAGCUGCUGCAUCUAUGUGGAAUUCCCUGUCUGUCUCCACCAACUGCCAAAUGCUUGCUGAUCUUUCAAGAUGGAAGUGAAAGGACACUACCUCUCCUAAGCUUUCCCUAGUGCCUUCAUGUACCACCAACCCCCAAGUCAAAAUUUACCUCCACCACCUCAGCACUUUCAUAACCUCUGCCUGACC
rnacentral:lncRNA from 1 species